rnacentral:rRNA from 1 species
GUGGGGAAUAUUGCGCAAUGGGCGCAAGCCUGACGAAGCGACGCCGCGUGUAGGAUGAAGGUCUUCGGAUUGUAAACUACUGUCUUUGGGGAGCAAGGCCUCGGUGUGAACAUCAUCGAGGAGUGAUAGUACCCAAGGAGGAAGCCACGGCUAACUCUGUGCCAGCAGCCGCGGUAAUACAGAGGUGGCGAGCGUUGUUCGGAUUUACUGGGCGUAAAGGGUGCGUAGGCGGUCCCGUAUGUCGGAUGUGAAAUCCCAUCGAAAACGGUGGAACGGCAGUCGAAACUGCGGGGCUUGAGUGCAGGAGAGGAUGGUGGAAUUCUCGGUGUAGCGGUGAAAUGCGUUGAUAUCGAGAGGAACGCCGGUGACGAAGGUGACCAUCUGGACUGCUACUGACGCUGAGGCACGAAAGCUAGGGGAGCAAACAGGAUUAGAAACCCCUGUAGUCC